UACAGAGGAGAUGGGGAGGAGUGGGCCCGUGGCCCCCACGUCCUACUCCGUGGGGGUCUCCCCAGCUCAGGGCCCCUUCCUCUCUGUGUCUCUGCUCACUGCUGUGGCCUCUUUCCAUAUCCCGCAUCCCGCUGGAGCUGCCCCUCCUGAGGCUGUGGGGUGGGGGCAGGCCCUCCCCCUCCCCCUUCCCCCCAUUUCCCUGGGGGCCGGCCUCCCUGCCUGGGGAAGGUGGGUGGCCCCCUCUGGGCUCAGGUUCCUGGGCUGCAGUGAGGGGUGGGCUCAACCCCACUCCCAUUCUGUCGGAGCCUCUGGGAGCCUCCGGGCUGCCCACAGCCUCUGCCCCUGCUGGGGGCAGGUGUCUGGCCCCUGGCCCCUGCCUUCCCGGCCCAGCCCCCUUCGCUGGGACACAGGUGGCCCUACUGAAUGACAACUGUCCAUGGCUAAUCGGCUCCCCCUCAAAGCUUCCACCUUCUGAACAGCCCCACACCAUGGCCACGGUUCCAGAUCUUUCCACCGUGUGAUGCUUCCAACAGCCUGACGGGGGGCCGGGGCGGUGACAGGGGCUGGCUGUGAGGCUGACCUCACCUUCCAGCCUUGACCUUCUACCCCAGGGCCCUGCCCUCCAGCCCACUUGUGCCAGGGCGGGGUGGUUCAGCGGGUCCAGUGCCUGGGCCUGGCUGGUGGCAUUUGUGAAGCGGCUUGCUUAUCUCCUUGUAUUCUGCGCUGAGCAUUUUAUUACAGCGAAUGGAAAACAGGAGAAAUGAAACUGCUGAUAUUAGUGAUGAGAUGCGUCAGGCUCAUCAGCUUAAAAUAACCGAAGCGAGGCUAGAAACCGCCUGACAGCUGCGCAGCUGCCUGGCUCCGAGAGACACUCGGCCCGACUGUGAAGGGAAAACAUUAAAGCACUGAAACGGUGGAAAAAGAGCAUCAAAGAUGAUGUCUGUGAGGCGCGGCCACGGCGAGGAAGCUCUCGUUUAUGAACAAAGGGCCACUCCCGGGUCUCAGAGAUGCAGAUUCUGGACAGAGCUGCCCUCUGCCCCCAGCCUGUGUUGAAAGCUGUCUCCGCUCCGGUGCAGCCUCCUCAAGGCUCCGAGCUUCGUGGGACAGGGAAUGCUGCGGAGUGGGCUGGAGGGGGCGCUGGGCCCAGGCGGUGGGCUCUGAGGGAACCUGGACACCCAGGCCGUCCCCCUGGCCUGCUCCUUCCUCGCAGAGGGUCAUGCCCCCUCCCAAUCACUGGCCCUGGGACAGAAGCGGCCAGAUUCAA